GUGCCCUCUCGCCUCUAACUAGAGAACGCCUCGCGGUGUGAGUGAAACUCUGGCGGCCUCGCUAACACGCCAAACCUCUGUCCUCAGAAUACGAAGGGCAAAGUGUGUCCCACUCACGCGCAGGCUUCCCCGCGGCGGCCACAGCGGCGGGGGGCGGGGGUCGUGCUCACCGUCGUCCAGUUCACCGGCAUGUUUUCAAUCAGCCAUCACGAGCGAAGUGCUGCUUCGUGUCCACCAGGGAAAGCUUCAGGGAGCACGUUAUUGGCACUCAAGAUGCCAGCCAUGGGCUGCCUGGAACGACGGUUUUUAUCAUUUAUGUGAGUCCUGGGACAUUUUCUUCCAACAGACCUAAGUAUGUAUGACACCAGCAUAUUACACGAAGCCGAGAGGGGGCUGCUCUGGGUGAGCGUGGAGGAACACACGACCCCUCCCACGCUCACGUGCCCACAACCUCCAGGACAGCCCAGCCUGGGUGAACUGCAACUUCUUUAGCUCAAGGGACAUCUGCUUUUCCCCAGAGGGGCCCCUGGUGCAGAAGCAAGUUGGGGAGUGUGCAGAGCCGGGAAGAAGCAAAGCGAGGGUAUGGGUGGGAGGGAGUGGGAAUCCUUGGAUUUGGCAGAGAACAAGUAAAUUUUCGGAAAUCAUAGUCAGCGUGGUCUCCACAAAGAUGAGAGGGCAGGAACUCGAUUGGAAGGGGGCCAGUGAAGCUGCUGUCAGGAAGCUCUCACAGGGCAGUAAACAGCUCCUGGCACCCGGAAUAGGAGGAGGAAGUCGAGAACCCACAGCCGCCCUGCCCAGCCUGGCUCCUCCUCACCCGCCCAGGCUGCUGUGCUCCUCACGGGAGGAAAACCCGCCUGCGUCCAGCUACCUCCAGGAAAGCAACAACUGCCCGUCCUCGACUAAAGGCCAAACCUUUUAACAUUUUUGUCCUUGACCACGGCAUCAGCUGUGCUGUCUACAGAAGGAACUAUAUUAUUCCCACUUAAAUAGCUCGGUGUUUCGUCAAGAGAGUGCAAACACGAGGGCUUCGGUAGAGGGAGGAGACACUGGCUCAGGAACCAGAGCUCACGGUUCCUGCUGUCUCUGCCCCUUGACCUCGGUGUGAGGCGGCUGCGACUGGGUCUCUGCUGUGUAAAUAUUGUGCCUGAGGGCCAUUUUGACAAUGACCGUUUCUACUUUAAAAACAAAGCAGACCAAGGGAGUCUCUGGUCCAGGGAUAAGGUGCCUGCAGUGCUUUUCCGACACCUAAAUCUCUGCUUUGUCCUGAGAGAAACAAGCGUCACGAACUUAGCUCACUGUUGGUGAAGUGACGGCCGCCAGGGAAGAGUGCAGGGAUCUCAGGAGAGACGCUCGGGUCCUUUUUCAAAACCAGUGUGAUGCACGAUAUGUGACUACUCGCCAGAGUCUCGGGAGAGUGUGACGAGCGAUGGGUGGCUACUCACCAGAGCGACUGGAUUUCUGUCUGAGGCUACUGCAUAUGCUGGGUCUUAGCAAGCAACGGCCAUGCGGCCAUCAAGGCACAACAGAGAGCUCUUCUUCUAGGAAGUUCGAGGCAUUAAAAAUUUCCUCCACUGGGAGCAUGAGCAUAAAUAUCUUCCAUAUUGUUCCCAGUUUUUCUGAAGGCGAAAGAAAAUAAAGAAGGCCAGUCAAUUAGAAAUCUGAAUUUUUCUAUUAAAGAAGGCAGGGGUUAGCCGGGCACAGUGGCUCACGCCUGUAAUCCCAGCACUUUGGAAGGCCAAGGUGGGUGGAUCACUUGAGGUCAGGAGUUUGAGACUAUCCUGGCUAACAUGGUGAAACCCUGUCUCUACUAAAAAUACAAAAAUUAGCUGGGCGUGAUGGCAGGCGCCUGUAAUCCCAGCUACUCGGGAGGCUGAGGCAGGAGAACUGCUUGAACCCGGGAGGCAGAGGUUGCAGUGAGUGGAGAUCGCGCCACUGCACUCCAGCCUGGGUGACAGAGUGAGACCCCAUCUCAAAAUAAAUAAAUAAAUAAAAAUAAAGAAGGCGGGGG
rnacentral:lncRNA from 10 species